rnacentral:rRNA from 1 species
UUAUAAGAGACAGCAGCAGCCGCGGGAAUACGAAGGGGGCUAGCGUUGUUCGGAUUUACUGGGCGUAAAGGGCGCGUAGGCGGACUGAUAAGUCAGGGGUGAAAUCCCAAGGCUCAACCUUGGAACUGCCUUUGAUACUGUUUGUCUUGAGUUCGAGAGAGGUAAGUGGAGCUGCGAGUGUAGAGGUGAAAUUCGUAGAUAUUCGCGAGAACACCAGUGGCGAAGGCGGCUUACUGGCUCGAAACUGACGCUGAGGCGCGAAAGCGUGGGGAGCAAACAGGAUUAGAUACCCGGGUAGUCCCUGUCUCUUAUAC